AUAAAUCCAAGUUUCAAGGUGUAGUACUUGUGACUCAAAGACUUUUCCUACACACUAAAGACUUUACAUCACUUCUCAACCACUUUCCCAUGAAACAAGGGUCCAUGUUUUAAGGAAAAGUACUAUAAAAGUCAAGUCUUGAAAACUUGAAUUUGAAAAGGCUCCAAGACUUGUUUGAAUUUCCCUCCUUAAAACAAAUU
rnacentral:lncRNA from 1 species